CCCCUGGAAGACUAGUGGUUAGGCCUUGGCGUUGUCGAUGCCACAGCCCAGGUUCGAUUCCCUGCCAGGGAG
rnacentral:tRNA from 1 species